UUCUUUGUUUCGCUUAAUGGACCGGCCGAGUAGCCAGUCCAACGGGGGAACCAAAUUCCGCCCGCGAAUGCGGAGCGGAUCGGGGCGAACGAUGCGCGGCAUCGAGAGCAUUUAAUGGCCCCAGCCCGACAGCUAACCUCGUCAGCAGCAUUAAAGUACAG
rnacentral:sRNA from 2 species